rnacentral:rRNA from 1 species
UUGACCUCGGAUCAGGCAGGGAUACCCGCUGAACUUAAGCAUAUCAAUAAGCGGAGGAAAAGAAACCAACAGGGAUUGCCUCAGUAACGGCGAGUGAAGCGGCAACAGCUCAAAUUUGAAAUCUGGCUCUUUUAGGGUCCGAGUUGUAAUUUGUAGAGGAUGCUUCGGCGUCGGCUCCGGUCUAAGUUCCUUGGAACAGGACGUCAUAGAGGGUGAGAAUCCCGUAUGUGAUCGGUUGCCUUGCCAUGUGAAGCUCCUUCGACGAGUCGAGUUGUUUGGAAUGCAGCUCUAAUGGGAGGUAAAUUUCUUCUAAAGCUAAUACUGGCCAGAGACCGAUAGCGCCCAAGU